CAUGUCCCACAUCAAGACGGCACGAAGCCUCCACAUCAUGUGCCACAUCCCAGUCUUCUGCUGGAUCACUGCUACGGUUCUGGAGGAUCUGCUGGAAACCAGAGAGGGAGGAGAGCUGCCCAAGACCCUGACGGAGAUGUACGCAGAGUUCCUGGGGUUUCAGAUGGAUCGGACUAAAGACAAGUACGGACCAGAACAGAGCAGCAACUACAUCAAGUCAUUGGCUAAACUGGCUUUUAAGCAGCUGCUAAAGGGAAACUUGAUCUUCUAUGAGGAAGAUCUGAAAGAGAGCGGCAUCGAUGUCAGAGGAGCCUCAGUGUGUUCAGGAGUGUUCACAGAGAUCUUUAAACAGGAGCGAGGGAGGAAAACCAAGGACAAGAUGUUCAGCUUUGUUCAUCUGAGCGUUCAGGAGUUUCUGGCUGCUGUUCACAUGAUGCUCUGUUACACCAACGGGAAGAUGGAGGAACUGAAGGAGUUUCUGAAAGACUCCAAUGCUGCUCUGGAUGUUGUCCUGAGUAGAACCAUGUUUAAAUCCCUCCUCAGUCCAAGUGGCCACCUAGACCUGUUUGUUCGCUUCCUUCAUGGCCUCUGUCUGGAGUCCAACCAGAGAAUCUUAGGAGGUUUGCUGGGUCACACAAAGAACAGUCCAGAAACCAUCCAGAGAAUCAUCAAGAACCUGAAGGAGAUGAACAGUGAUAGAAUCUGUCCAGACAGAAGCAUCAACAUCUUCCACUGUCUGAUGGAGAUGAACGACCACUCAGUCCAUCAGCAGAUCCAAGAGUUCCUGAAGUCAGAGAACAGAACAAAGAAAGAACUCUCCUUGAUCCAGUGCUCAGCUCUGGCCUACAUGCUGCAGAUGUCAGAGGAGGUUCUGGAUGAGUUGGACCUGAACCAGUACAACACAUCACUGGAGGGACGACGGAGACUGAUUCCAGCUGUGAGGAACUGCAGAAAGGCUCAACUUUCUGGUUGUGGACUCACAAAGACUCACUGUGAAGUUGUGGCCUCAGCUCUGAAGUCCAACCCGUCACAUCUGACACAUCUAGACCUGAGCGGAAACGACCUCCAGGACUCAUCAGUGAAGGUUCUGUGUGUUGGACUGGAGAGUCCUCACUGUCGACUGGAGACUCUGAGGUCAGUGUUUCUUUUCAGUCAAUUCAGACAUCUCCACUUGAAUCUAGAAUGAAAAGAUUCUAAAGAAGGCUCGUGUCAGAAACCUGCAGGAAUGAUUGACAGUUUAUUGUGCCUCUAUCAAGUCUAUGAAGGUUUGUGACGUCUUUUCUAUCAAAGUGACACUUUAAGUGUGACACAGCAGCAGAGACUCAGUAAAUCAUUUCUCCACAUCUCCAGAGAAGACAACAUCCAUCUGACUGGGAUCAGUUCUGAAGAUGAUUCACUUCAUCAAUUAUGAUUAACUCACUGCAGUUUGUCAGAGAUCAGCUGUGAUUCUCUGGUCUCAGCUCUGAAGUCCAACCCGUCACAUCUGACACAACUGGACCUAAGCGACAACAAGCUGCAGGAUUCAGGAGUGAAGCAUCUGUGUGGUUUUC